AUACGGGAGGCAGCAGUCGAGAAUUUUUCACAAUGGGCGAAAGCCUGAUGGAGCGACGCCGCGUGGGGGAUGAAUGGCUUCGGCCCGUAAACCCCUGUCAUUUGCGAACAAACCUCGUUAUUUAAAAGAUGACGAGUUGAUAGUAGCGAAAGAGGAAGGGACGGCUAACUCUGUGCCAGCAGCCGCGGUAAUACAGAGGUCCCAAGCGUUGUUCGGAUUCACUGGGCGUAAAGGGUGCGUAGGUGGUCGGGUAAGUCUGAUGUGAAAUCUCCAAGCUCAACUUGGAAAUGGCAUCGGAUACUAUUCGGCUUGAGGGUUGGAGGGGAGACUGGAAUUCUCGGUGUAGCAGUGAAAUGCGUAGAUAUCGAGAGGAACACCAGUGGCGAAGGCGAGUCUCUAGACAACUCCUGACACUGAGGCACGAAAGCCAGGGGAGCAAACGGGAUUAGAUACCCCGGU
rnacentral:rRNA from 1 species